UUAAUUGAAGCCAAAAAGAGGCAUAUUAUUGUUAAUAAUAUUAAUGGAAUUUACCCCAAUUAAA
rnacentral:tRNA from 1 species